AGCGAACGCUGGCGGCAGGCUUAACACAUGCAAGUCGAGCGGGCCCUUCGGGGUCAGCGGCAGACGGGUGAGUAACGCGUGGGAACGUGCCCUUUGGUUCGGAAUAACCCUGGGAAACUAGGGCUAAUACCGGAUACGCCCUUAUGGGGAAAGGUUUACCGCCGAAGGAUCGGCCCGCGUCUGAUUAGCUUGUUGGUGAGGUAACGGCUCACCAAGGCGACGAUCAGUAGCUGGUCUGAGAGGAUGAUCAGCCACACUGGGACUGAGACACGGCCCAGACUCCUACGGGAGGCAGCAGUGGGGAAUAUUGGACAAUGGGGGCAACCCUGAUCCAGCCAUGCCGCGUGAGUGAUGACGGCCUUAGGGUUGUAAAGCUCUUUUACCCGGGACGAUAAUGACGGUACCGGGUGAAUAAGCCCCGGCUAACUUCGUGCCAGCCGCCGCGGUAA
rnacentral:rRNA from 1 species